GGCGUAAAGCGCAUGCAGGUGGUCGGAUAAGUCAGAUGUGAAAGCCCCGGGCUCAACCUGGGAACUGCAUUUGAAACUGUCUGACUAGAGUCCUGUAGAGGGGGGUAGAAUUUC
rnacentral:rRNA from 1 species